AUAACGACUCUCGGCAACGGAUAUYUCGGCUCUCGCAUCGAUGAAGAACGUAGSGAAAUGCGAUACUUGGUGUGAAUUGCAGAAUCCCGUGAACCAUCGAGUCUUUGAACGCAAGUUGCGCCCCAAGCCUUCUGGCCGAGGGCACGUCUGCCUGGG
rnacentral:rRNA from 1 species